rnacentral:rRNA from 1 species
UACGGAGGGUGCAAGCGUUAUCCGGAUUCACUGGGUUUAAAGGGUGCGUCGGAGGGCAGGUAAGUCAGUGGUGAAAUCCCCGAGCUUAACUUGGGAACUGCCGUUGAUACUAUCUGUCUUGAAUAUUGUGGAGGUAAGCGGAAUAUGUCAUGUAGCGGUGAAAUGCUUAGAUAUGACUUAGAACACCAAUUGCGAAGGCAGCUUGCUAAACAAAUAUUGACGCUGAGGCACGAAAGCGUGGGGAUCAAACAGG